UCUUAAAAUCAUUGUAUUAAUGGUUCUUGAGAUAACGUAAGGGAUAAAAAUGAUAGUACCUUACUAUAAGUGUUGUCCAACUUUACUGGUGCCAGAAGACUCGGUAACGCCAGAAACGCAAACGUUAGUCGUCCUAAUCAGGCGUAAAGGGUAAGUAGGCUGCUUUGAAAGUUAUUAAUUAGAAAGCUCUUAAAAAAAAAUUAAAGUAAUUAAUAAUGAAUUAAAGCUAGAAUCAAAUAGGGGAUAAUUUAAAUAAUAUUUAGAGUAAGGCUGAUAUCUUUUGAUACUAAAUGGAAUGCAAAGGUGAAAACUUUUAUCUACUAAUGAUUGACGCUGAGGAACGAAGGUGGGAAUAGAAAACAGGAUUAGAGAGGCCUGGUAUCUCUCACUGUAAACGAUGAAUGUGUAGUUGUUAGUUAUAU
rnacentral:rRNA from 1 species